AGGGUUCGAUUCUGGCUCAGGAUGAACGCUGGCGGCGUGCUUAACACAUGCAAGUCGAACGGGAUCCAUCAGGCUUUGCUUGGUGGUGAGAGUGGCGAACGGGUGAGUAAUGCGUGACCGACCUGCCCCAUACACCGGAAUAGCUCCUGGAAACGGGUGGUAAUGCCGGAUGCUCCGACUCCUCGCAUGGGGUGUCGGGAAAGAUUUCAUCGGUAUGGGAUGGGGUCGCGUCCUAUCAGGUAGUCGGCGGGGUAACGGCCCACCGAGCCUACGACGGGUAGCCGGCCUGAGAGGGCGACCGGCCACAUUGGGACUGAGAUACGGCCCAGACUCCUACGGGAGGCAGCAGUGGGGAAUAUUGCACAAUGGGCGCAAGCCUGAUGCAGCGACGCCGCGUGCGGGAUGACGGCCUUCGGGUUGUAAACCGCUUUUGAUCGGGAGCAAGCCUUCGGGUGAGUGUACCUUUCGAAUAAGCACCGGCUAACUACGUGCCAGCAGCCGCGGUAAUACGUAGGGUGCAAGCGUUAUCCGGAAUUAUUGGGCGUAAAGGGCUCGUAGGCGGUUCGUCGCGUCCGGUGUGAAAGUCCAUCGCUUAACGGUGGAUCUGCGCCGGGUACGGGCGGGCUGGAGUGCGGUAGGGGAGACUGGAAUUCCCGGUGUAACGGUGGAAUGUGUAGAUAUCGGGAAGAACACCAAUGGCGAAGGCAGGUCUCUGGGCCGUUACUGACGCUGAGGAGCGAAAGCGUGGGGAGCGAACAGGAUUAGAUACCCUGGUAGUCCACGCCGUAAACGGUGGAUGCUGGAUGUGGGGCCCGUUCCACGGGUUCCGUGUCGGAGCUAACGCGUUAAGCAUCCCGCCUGGGGAGUACGGCCGCAAGGCUAAAACUCAAAGAAAUUGACGGGGGCCCGCACAAGCGGCGGAGCAUGCGGAUUAAUUCGAUGCAACGCGAAGAACCUUACCUGGGCUUGACAUGUUCCCGACAGCCGUAGAGAUAUGGCCUCCCUUCGGGGCGGGUUCACAGGUGGUGCAUGGUCGUCGUCAGCUCGUGUCGUGAGAUGUUGGGUUAAGUCCCGCAACGAGCGCAACCCCCGCCCUGUGUUGCCAGCACGUCAUGGUGGGAACUCACGGGGGACCGCCGGGGUCAACUCGGAGGAAGGUGGGGAUGACGUCAGAUCAUCAUGCCCCUUACGUCCAGGGCUUCACGCAUGCUACAAUGGCCGGUACAACGGGAUGCGACACGGCGACGUGGAGCGGAUCCCUGAAAACCGGUCUCAGUUCGGAUUGGAGUCUGCAACCCGACUCCAUGAAGGCGGAGUCGCUAGUAAUCGCGGAUCAGCAACGCCGCGGUGAAUGCGUUCCCGGGCCUUGUACACACCGCCCGUCAAGUCAUGAAAGUGGGUAGCACCCGAAGCCGGUGGCCUAACCCUUUGUGGAUGGAGCCGUCUAAGGUGAGACUCGUGAUUGGGACUAAGUCGUAACAAGGUAGCCGUACCGGAAGGUGCGGCUG
rnacentral:rRNA from 1 species